rnacentral:ncRNA from 1 species
UAGAACUUUUGCAAUGUAGGGGAUGAGAGGAAGGUUUAGGAUCAACAAAAUAAGAUUGCCGAUGUACAUUGAUAUAAUCACUGACCAAAAGAUCUGUGGUUCGUCCAGCAUGAGACGUGGGCC